rnacentral:rRNA from 1 species
UACGUAGGGUGCAAGCGUUGUCCGGAAUUAUUGGGCGUAAAGAGCUCGUAGGCGGUUCGUCGCGUCGGCUGUGAAAUCCCGAGGCUCAACCUCGGGUCUGCAGUCGAUACGGGCGGACUGGAGUUCGGCAGGGGAGACUGGAAUUCCUGGUGUAGCGGUGGAAUGCGUAGAGAUCCGGAAGAACACCGGUGGCGAAGGCGGCCUGCUGGGCGAGUGCUGACACUGAGGCGCGACACGUGGGGAGCAAACAGG